GCGCUCGAAUGAAUCACACAUCUCUUUGUGGUGAGUAGCAGGCAACGAUCUUAUGAUCGGCGAAGAUGUGAUG
rnacentral:ribozyme from 1 species